rnacentral:lncRNA from 1 species
CCCCUAGCCUUGGAAUUUCCAUAUACCACUGGUGUGGCCCCUAAAAAUCAAACAAAACAAAACAAAAACAAAAACAAAAAAACCCCUGCAGUUUGGGUUACCAUCAGUCACCCUCCUAAGACUUCCUAAAUUCCUGCAGUAACAUUAGUUUAGAGAUGUGGUAAUAUUUUUCUUAAAGACCUUUUAGGCUUCUAUUGAAUAAUUCAACAAUCUAAUGGAACUCAUAUCAUUGGAUCCUAGAUUUCCUCUAUUUAGAGGAAACAUAGACUCAUUUAUAGAUGAGUGGUCUCUAAAGUGAAGUAUUUGUACCUGGUGGACAUACAAGACAACCUUUUGGAGAAGAGUAAGAAAAUAUUUCAAUUAAGAUUUAUUUAUAUAUUUAGCCACAUCUGCGGCUUGUGGAAGUUCCCCGGGCCAGGAAUCAAACCUGUGCCAUAGUAGCAACUAGAGCCACAGCAAUGACAAUGUCAGAUCCUUAACCGGCUGAACCACCAGGGAACUCCUGACAUUUAUUUAUUUAUUUAUUUAUUAUCGCUGCACCCACAGCAUAUGGAAGUUCCCAGCAGGCUAGGUGUUGACUCGGAGCUGCAGCUGCAGGCCUACACCACAGCCACAGCAACACCAAUCCUGCUGCUUGCAGUAGCAUGGAACCCUUAACCCAGAAAUAAGUUUUGUUUUCAAGUUCCAGUCACAGCAGGCUCCCGCCUCUCAGGGUCUCUGUGAUUCUCUAAACUGCCAACUUCUUACAAUAUUAUUUCUAAUUUGGAGUUCCCUUCAUGGCUCAAAGGGAGCGAAUCUGACCAGUAACCCUGAGGAUACAGGUUCGAUACCUGGCCUCACUCAGUGGAUUAAGGAUCUGGCAUUGCCAAGUGAACUGUGGUGUAGGUUGCAGAUGAAGCUCAGAACCCGCAUUGCUGUGGCUGUGGUGUAGGCUGGCAGCUGUGGCUCUGAUUUGACCCCUAGCCUGGGAACCUCCAUAUGCUGCAAGUGCAGCCCUAAAAANNNNNNNNNNNAAAAAAAAAAAAAAAAGAAGAAGACUCAAACAAUUUUGCAGGCGACCCUUAAGUUAUUCUUUGGUGUUCUGUUUUUUAGGUAAAGUUGUCUCAGUUCAUCUUUCCUCCUAAUACGUGAUCUAUUGACUCUCCAAUUGUUUCUGCUCAAAGCAAGAUCUCAUUGGUUGUUUUUGUGCAAAGUUGAUGCAGUAGAUAGAGCCCUCGAGGCAGACUAUGCCCGCAGCCUUCUGGACAACCUUGAACAGGACUCUUUUCUUCUCUGGGCUUUGGUGUCCUCAUCUGUUAAAUGAAAGAGUUAUGCUAGGUGAUCUCCAGAGUCUCUGAAAGCACAAACUUUUUUUAAGUGCUGCACCCACGGCAUAUGGAUGUUCCUAGGCUAGGGGUCUAAUCACAGCAAUGCCAGAUCCGAGCCACAUUUACCACGUACACACCACAGCUCACGGCAACGCCGGAUCCUCAACCCACUGAGCAAGGCCGGGGAUAGAACCCACAACCUCAUGGUUCCUAGUCGGAUUCGUUAACCACUGCGCCACAAUGGGAACUCCCAACUUUAAUUUUUUAAAUUAAAAUAGAGUUGAUUUACGCCAUGUUUCGUAAACUUCAGCCAACUUUAAUUGUUUAAAUUAAAAUAUAAUUGAUUUACAAUGCUGUGUUUCAAGUGUACAACAAAGUAUAUUCUUUUCCAGAUUCUUUUCCAUUAUAGAUUAUUAUAAGAUAUUGAAUACAAUUCCCUGUGCUAUGCAGUAAGUAAACCUUGGGUGUUUAUCUAUCUGAUAUACAGUGGUGUGUAUAUGCUAAUCUCAUACUCUCACUAUAUAUAUACAUGUAAUACCUGGUAGCACAGCCAGGGGUUGGAAAAAAAACCUGACCGACGACCACUAGCCCACAUCUGUGGUUCACCUUUCCCCGUCUCCAUUU